UACAGAGGUCUCAAGCGUUGUUCGGAUUCAUUGGGCGUAAAGGGUGCGUAGGCGGCGCGGUAAGUCGGGUGUGAAAUCUCGGAGCUUAACUCCGAAACUGCAUUCGAUACUGCCGUGCUUGAGGACUGGAGAGGAGACUGGAAUUUACGGUGUAGCGGUGAAAUGCGUAGAUAUUGCUCGGAAGGCCAGAGCCGAAGGGGCCCUACUGGUGCGCAACUGACACUGAGGCACGAAAGCGUGGGGAGCAAACAGG
rnacentral:rRNA from 1 species